AGAUGACCUGGCAACUACUGCUAGGAGCAAGUAAACCGUAUGAGAUUAAGUGGCCAGCUCACGUGGAAGCCACAGACAGAAACAUUUUAGAAUAUAGGAUCAGGUUUCCUUAUCUCCUCCCUUCAGCCACAGCACAGAAAUAGUUCCUGUGACCAUAACUUAGAAAAGGGGUAUAGCAAAAGCAUUUUGUUCCAGCAAGGCAGUAUCCUAAAGAGUUACAAACUCACUCCCUGUACUCCCACAUGAAACAGAUGUCUGAUGAUUCCUUAGGAGCGUGUGCAAGGCCUCCAAACAAGAAGAAGAGGACUGAGAUCACUUAAAGAACCAUCAAGACUGCCUGGAGAAUAGGUUUAUUCUUCCUUUAACUUACCAAUAUCAAUCUUUUCCACUGCUUCUGGUACAGUUACACCCGGAGAAGAUACAGUCUUCACAAAGGGGUAGAGGUUACACACAACAACUCUUACAAGGCUGAAAUCUUGUUUGUUCAUAUCAGCGUUAUCUUCUGGAAUAUUGCGAGCCAAGAUGCCAGCAUGGACUGCAGGAUGAAGGGUUUUCACACGUCCUCCUAACAUCUCAGGGAACCCCGUCAGGUCCGAAACAUCUCUCACAGGCAGCCCCGCAUCCCUCAAGGCCGUGGCCGUUCCUCCCGAGGCGAUGAGGCCCAGACCCAACGCGUUCAGGCUCCUGGCGAACUCCACCAGGCCCGCCUUCUCCGAGACGCUGAGCAAAGCGAGCUGCUGCCGGGCGGCCAUGGCGCGCGUUGCGGGCGAGAGAGGGAGGAAGGAAGGAAAGGAGCGAUCGAGGGCGGCCCGAGGGGAUUUGGGCUCCAACAGCAGCACCACGUGGGAGGGCGGGGAGGAAGAGGCAGAGCUCGGGUUAAACAUUGCUGCUUAAAGCGUGUGCUGCACCCCUCGGGGUGGGGGCGGGCGGCGCGCUGCUGUGUGGGGAGCUCGGCGCGUGGCUCAGCCUGCACCACAGCUGCUGCGGCCUGCCUGGCUGUCCUGUGAGCAGCAGUUCCUAGCGACGUGCCUCGUGUUUUUUAUAGAAUCGUGGAGUUACUCAGCUUGGAACAGGUCGCUAGAAUCAUGCAGUCUGACUCCAGCCCGUCCCCACUGCGUCCCUCAGUGUCACGUCUUGAAUGCCUCCAAAGGUGGCGACCCGCUGCUCCCUGGGUACCUGUGCCAGCACAGCACCGCUCUUAAUAAGAAAUUGGUCCUAAAAUCCAGCUUGAAGCUCCCCUGGUGCAGCUUCAGGCCGUCACCUUUCAUCCUAAGUUCCGAUAUGGGACUUCCACACAUGCAUCUGUUAGGCUUUUGUCUCCCACAGAGCCAUUCCCUGCAGGCUGGGAGCAGGCAGGCUGGGAGUUAGAAAAGAAGGAAUAAAUGCAAGAUUGGAGAUCCUACAGAAAACUGGGAAGCGCAACCAGGAAACCCAGGGCUGUUGUGAUUUGUGGGCCUCGAGGCUUGGGCAGCAUUGUCUGUGUAAGAAGGAGUCAAGCAAGACAUACAGAGCACUAAAUAAAGUCGGUAUAUGUAUUACUCUGAGUAGCAGUUGGUGACAAGCAGUAAUAAAUUACUGCUCAGGAGCAUGGCUGGGGCCAAAUGAAAAUAUACUGCUAAGUGGUACAUGAGCACCAUCAUUAUGAAAAUACAUACCUUGGAGAGAACUGCUGAUGUACAGAGCGGUGCAGCCAAGGUGGGCUUUGGGGAUGAUUAAUGGAUGUGAAAAUGAAAGAUUUGACGGAGCUCUGCAUAUUUAUCUGGGGUUGGAGAGCAAUUGCAUAUUCUGGGGCAGCAUCUGAGACGCUAAGGACCACUGUGCAUGCUGCUUACAAAGCAGGGUGUUUGGAGAUGCUGCCGAUGCAGGGUGGAUGGCCAUGCUGGCCUAUGCACGAGAGGACAGAGCUGAUUCUGCUUUCAGGCAAAUAAAGAGGCGUUAUCAGCAUAAAU
rnacentral:lncRNA from 1 species